GGGUAUGGUUCGAAGAGUAUAACACAGCGGAAUAAAACUAAGAGUAAGCGGAAAGCGUGUUCGGUCACAAAAAUAGUUCCUUUAUNAGUUUUAAAUUUCUUGUAAAACUUUUAUCNAACAGUUGGAGUGCUAAAAGAUUAAGGAGUGUAGGGAAGAGAAAAAUCACACAAAUGAUUUUUAUACUGGUUCGAAUCAAAAGAUUCUACGUCCAGUUGUUAAUCACUAUAAAAAGUGAUUAACGAUUUUCACUAAAAAUAUAGUUGUACAGAUUACAAGAUAAUGAAAUGAGUAAGGGAUAGAAAACACCUUCCUUCGACAAACG
rnacentral:lncRNA from 1 species